AUUGAACGCUGGCGGCAUGCCUUACACAUGCAAGUCGAACGGCAGCACGGGAGCAAUCCUGGUGGCGAGUGGCGAACGGGUGAGCAAUAUAUCGGAACGUGCCCAGUAGUGGGGGAUAACUGCUCGAAAGAGCAGCUAAUACCGCAUACGACCUGAGGGUGGAAGGGGGGGGAUCGCAAGACCUCUCGCUAUUGGAGCGGCCGAUAUCAGAUUAGCUAGUUGGUGGGGUAAAGGCCUACCAAGGCAACGAUCUGUAGUUGGUCUGAGAGGACGACCAGCCACACUGGGACUGAGACACGGCCCAGACUCCUACGGGGGGCAGCAGUGGGGAAUUUUGGACAAUGGGCGCAAGCCUGAUCCAGCAAUGCCGCGUGCAGGAAGAAGGCCUUCGGGUUGUAAACUGCUUUUGUCAGGGAAGAAAUCCUCUAGGUUAAUACCCUUGGGGGGAUGACGGUACCUGAAGAAUAAGCACCGGCUAACUACGUGCCAGCCGCCGCAGUAACAC
rnacentral:rRNA from 1 species